rnacentral:rRNA from 1 species
UACGUACUGUGCGAACGUUAUUCGGAAUCACUGGGCUUAAAGGGUGCGUAGGCGGCUAAGUAAGUAGGGUGUGAAAUACCCCGGCUCAACCGGGGCAUUGCGCUCUAAACUGCUUGGCUUGAGUGAGAUAGGGGUGUGCGGAACUUCCAGUGGAGCGGUGAAAUGUGUUGAUAUUGGAAGGAACGCCGGUGGCGAAAGCGGCACACUGGGUCUUAACUGACGCUGAGGCACGAAAGCCAGGGGAGCGAACGGG